rnacentral:rRNA from 1 species
UACAGAGGGUGCAAGCGUUGUUCGGAAUUAUUGGGCGUAAAGCGCGUGUAGGCGGCUUUGCAAGUCGGGUGUGAAAGCCCUCAGCUCAACUGAGGAAGUGCGCCCGAAACUGCAGAGCUUGAGUACCGGAGAGGGUGGCGGAAUUCCCCAAGUAGAGGUGAAAUUCGUAGAUAUCGGGAGGAACACCAGUGGCGAAGGCGGCGACCUGGGCCAAUAUUGACGCUGAGGUGCGAAAGCGUGGGGAGCAAACAGG